GAUGAACGCUGGCGGCGUGCCUAACACAUGCAAGUCGAGCGAUUCUCUUCGGAGAAGAGCGGCGGACGGGUGAGUAACGCGUGGGUAACCUGCCCUGUACACACGGAUAACAUACCGAAAGGUAUGCUAAUACGAGAUAAUAUACUUUUAUCGCAUGGUAGAAGUAUCAAAGCUUUUGCGGUACAGGAUGGACCCGCGUCUGAUUAGCUAGUUGGUAAGGUAACGGCUUACCAAGGCGACGAUCAGUAGCCGACCUGAGAGGGUGAUCGGCCACAUUGGAACUGAGACACGGUCCAAACUCCUACGGGAGGCAGCAGUGGGGAAUAUUGCACAAUGGGCGAAAGCCUGAUGCAGCAACGCCGCGUGAGCGAUGAAGG
rnacentral:rRNA from 1 species